GGUGAUAUAGCUCAGUCGGUAGAGCAAUGGACUGAAAAUCCAUGUGUCCUUGGUUCGAUUCCAAGUAUCACCACAA
rnacentral:tRNA from 1 species